GUGGAACAUUGCGUUGGACGUGCUUUUUUUCCCUCCCCUCCCUACACCCACGGUCACGCGCAUACAAGCACAUAUGCCCUCCCCACGCAAUGUGAGCGCGCACACGCCAAUCGCUCGACACCGUGGCGCGCAGACAUAAGCAGACACUUCGCAGCAGAACUGCAUCGAGGACGUCCACCGUCGCAACUUUUUUUUUUCUUCCGUGGAGAAUCCUCUUGGAGGUCACAGGAAUCCUUAACAGACAGACUUGCACGGAUGGGACGGCUUUUUUUCUGUGGCAUCUCCGUAAAGUUGCGCGCAAUCCGGGAGCCUGGGCGCAAACUUUAGAAGCCUUCCACUGCGUCUUGAACAGUAUAUACUUGUGCAUCAUGAAGACAGGGGAGUCAGUUGCGGAGUGAGUUCCAGGUGCCGCUGGGAAGAGGAGACUCCGGAGCAAGUCGUGAGCUGUGCGGCAGAUGCGCUACGCAGGAGCGCACCGAUGUGACAACAUGGGCGCAUUGCUGUAUAAUGGCCGGAUGACAAGCCUCCUCUUUCCUCUGCUGCUACUAUUGCAACCCCCCCUCCUGCUCAGCUUUGGAGAGCGCACAUGCCCAAACAACUGCAGAUGUGAAGGGAAAACAGUGCAUUGUGAUUCGUCUGGACUGCUCGACGUCCCAGAGAACAUAUCCGUAGGAUGUCAGGGCCUCUCCUUGCGCUACAACGAACUGCACACACUGCUGCCAUAUCAGUUCGCUCAUCUCAAUCAGCUCCUCUGGAUAUAUUUGGAUCACAAUCAGAUUUCAUCUGUUGACAGCCGAGCCUUUCAAGGUGUGCGCAGGCUAAAAGAGCUCAUCAUGAGCUCCAACAAAAUCACGUCCCUGCACAACUCCACAUUCCAUGGAAUUCCCAAUCUCCGCAGUCUCGAUUUGUCGAACAACAAGUUGGAAGUCUUGCAGCCGGGACAAUUCCAUGGACUACGGAAGAUGCAAAACUUACACCUUCGCUCCAACGGUCUCUCCAACAUUCCCAUCCGAGCCUUCCUGGAGUGCAGGAGUCUGGAGUUUCUCGAUUUAGGCUACAAUCGGAUAAAGAUUCUCACUCGCACUACCUUUUUGGGACUACAGAAACUAAUGGAGUUACACCUCGAGCAUAAUCAGUUCUCUCGGAUAAACUUUUUUCUUUUUCCACGCUUGGCAAACCUAAGGUCACUAUAUCUGCAGUGGAACAGGAUCCGGGUGGUGAACCAGGGGCUGCCGUGGACUUGGUAUACGCUGCAGAAACUUGAUCUUUCCGGGAACGAAAUCCAAACCCUUGACCCUGCCGUGUUUCACUGCCUGCCAAACCUUCAAGUGCUUAAUCUGGAGUCCAACAAGUUGUCCAAUGUGUCCCAGGAAGCCGUGUCAGCCUGGAUCUCUUUGACAACAAUCAGCCUCGCCGGGAACAUGUGGGAUUGUGGUCCUGGCAUUUGCCCGCUCGUGGCGUGGCUGAGAAACUUCCGUGGAACUAAAGACACUACGAUGAUAUGCAGCAGCCCAAAGUAUCUACAGGGUGAAAAAAUCAUGGAGGCCACAAGAAACCAUGGGAUUUGUGAAGAUACAGAUUACAUUUUAACCGAAACCCCUUCCCCAAUGUCUGAUCUUAUUUCUGAAGGGCCCAUUGAGCCUACCUUUGACCCCAUGGUCACCUCUCCUCUUAUGCCACAAACCAACACAUUUGGCCCUCUCCCACCUGUGAGACCUCAACCCCUUCCUCAUCCCACGGUCCCUGGACAUAUGAGCAAGGACCCCAGAAACUCUGUGGCGCGCAGUCAACCCACUCACACGCCUCCCCCAGAAAUAGAACAUAUGACUCUUCACAAGGUGGUAGUGGGCAGUGUGGCCCUCUUCUUCACCAUGUCUCUUAUGUUGACGAUAAUUUAUGUGCUGUGGCGCCGCUAUCCUGAUGCGGCCAGAUUGCUGCCUCAGAGGUCAGUGGUCGGGAGGAAGCACCGCAGAAAGAGUCCAGAGCCAGAGCAGAACCUGAGCUCUCAGCUCCAAGAGUAUUACAUGAGCUACAACCCUGCUGCGACACCAGAAGCACUGGAAGUACUGGGGAAUGGAACUGGCUCCUGCACCUGCACACUAACUAGCUCCAGAGAGUGUGAGGUAUGACCGAUCGCACAGUCAAAACUCAAAAUCAAAACACAAAGGCUCAUCAGACAGAAAAAUAUUGUAGAGCACCAUUGGUCCUGUCAACCCCAGUCUGUCACUGAGGCAGAAAGCUUUACAGAUGGAAUAAAAUGCUCAUUGGAUUCAAACCUACCUCUGGUUACCUAACCCGUCCUUACAUUUUCUUAUAUGUGUAAGAUAUAUAAAUAUGUGUCUUUGGGGAGCAGGAAGCUAUUUAACUAAUCUCUGUAUGACUUCAUAUUGAAGUACUCUUAAGUCAUUAAAAUAUUUCAACGUUCAUUGGAUGGACAUUUCUGGUGCAGUCAGAGAGUUGCAUGGUUGAUGGAGACAGUUGCAGCUUUGCGCAGACCCACACAACCAAAGAGAAGCUAACAAACAGUGAUCUGCGCUCAUAAUGCUCAGAUGGAACCCACACAAUCAGACUUCACACACAAAGGCCCCAGGUGAACCUCAGCACUCCAUCACACGUGUCCUGUGAGGAUGCACAACGGCUCGCCAUCCUUCUGCGCUGCUCAUCUACCAUGCGUUUGUAGCUCACGCCACUUCAUGAAUGUAGAAUGCAAACCAAAAUAACUGAAAUCAUGACAGUCAUCUAAGUGUCUGUCCUGCAAUCCCAACUUAACUGUCUCAUUUAUAUGUCGAAAACAUUAGUAUUUUACGACCAGAGAAUGACAGUGCUCCAUGAGGGUCCAAUAUAAUUUUAAAAUGAGCUGGUUUGGAUCCCUUUAAAUAUGACAACGGUUCAAAAAAAGCCCGGUCGAUUGUUGGACGCCUCUUGACCUGCUUUGAAAGUAGGUUUAUAUUAUUCAAGAGAAAAUGCGUGAGCCACGAUGCGGCCCUCCGCUCCGGUGUAUCUACGUGGGUCAAACAGUUGCCUAGAAAAUUGCUGCUUUUUCCCAACCCGUGUUUAAAGUCUUUAGCGUGCGACACUGAUGUCUUUUCUCAGCAUUAAAUAAUUCAAUAGCUGGUGUCAGCCUGAUUUAGCUAGAUUAAAGUGGCGUCCUGCUCGCCAUCGCAGCUGGGCUGCUUCAUUACAGCUAUGUGACUGGGCUGCCGUCCUUCUAAAAGGCUGGGAAACAAAAGGUCACCAGGUAAGAAGUAUGCAGUGAACAAUGUUUUCCGUCGCUUUGUUCGGAAGUCUUCCGGCUCAAACUUCAUCCGUCAUUUACUCCAUGUCAGGUGCUCUCACUUCAUCUCCCUGAUCAUGCUGCAUUUUAAUGCAAGUGGAGUUAGCUGGUGUUGCGCUGUCAUCAUCACUAUAUGAACAUAAUGCAUCACUCACAAUUUCCCAUGAGUUGGUAGCACAGGUCGCUCUAACCAGGAGUUAUGAGGCUGUCGCAGUUGUCAAGCGGUACAAGUGUGAACCAGUUUCUCAGUAAGGCUGAUAUGUUUAACUCCCGCAGAAUUUAUUUCCUCAUCAAACUUUUCUGGUUUCACCUUGGGCUAAUGUUUACAAUAAGUACUUUUUGCUUUAGGUUUUCAGCCAACUCUGAGUAAAUACAACUAAAAUAUUUCUUUUAAAUUGUGUAAUAUAUUGAAUAUGAAAUGUGUUUUCCACCUGCAUCCAGUUGACUGGCUGUGCUCAAGGUACUCCAGUCACAUAACACAUUCACUACUGUAGUUGACCCACAGUAAUUUUCAAAUAGUUAAUAUAUAAUAAUUUGCUGCAGCAUUGAUGACCAAUCUUCAAGGAUCUGAAGAAGGGAUUACCUGAGUGUUACUGUCGUGUUUUGUUCUCCGACUGGUGUAUCGCUCAAAUAUUUAGACGAGAUCUAAAGCAGCAAUAAAAAAAAAGACUCUCUGGUCAUUACCGACAGAAUACAACUGCUGUAACCACGAUGAGAAACUUGUGAGAUAUGUAACAAUCACCAUUAGAUCCUUGGCCAAACCGUAUGUAUUCAGCAAGUCAUCUUUUCCAAGAAUAAGAAAUUGUAAAUCUUUGAUGACAGGGAUGCUGUACAAGUUUUGUUCAAAUAAAGCAGCUCUGACAGCAGCUCAAGCAUUCAAAUCAUGAAACUUUCAACAUCCCAGGUUGUUCGACGCUGAAGUGUUUUAAAAUUUUGAUCAAGAAAAAGUCACUUCUUUAUAUAUUUUUCACGACAAACAACAGUGUUGACAAUAAAGAUGACUCUCAGAUUAUAGGACUUGAAGGAAAGGAAUAAAAAAGAGUAUUACUUUGUCUUAGAAUUUGAUUUUAAAAAAUCAGAAAAUCUCUUCAUAAUCAUACAUAAAAUAAAUGAAUAAUGGAUGAGUAUUUGCCACGAUCUCAAUACAUGUGUCCAGAACAAUGCAAGCAAUUACAAUGUCAAAUAUAGUAUUCAGAUGUCUUUUCCCAAAACAGGUCACAUUUGGAUUGGUUAUUCACGAGGUUAUUCACGCUGGUAUCGCUCCCUUCCAGUUCCGAAACAUAACUUUGCUCACAUGAAAAAAAGAAAACUGUCUCAGAUGGCAUGCUUGACUGUUGGGCGAAAACAAAUAUGAUCAGUAUGGCAACAAAAACUUUCAGAAUGCAACCCGUUUUGGCGCCAUCCCACUUUGGAUUCGCUUUCAAUGGAAAGCACCAAGCUUACAGUGUGAUCUCAAAGAUCUCCAAGCUGCUCCAGAAUUACAGCUGUGUCAGCGUGAAGGACCUCAUAGUAGUUUCCUUCCAUCUGCCUAAAAUCAUGACAAAAUAAAUGGCUUGAAAGUUGUACUAAAAAUGAAGUUAUGACUAAGAAGUCUGUUACGUCAGUAUUCCAUUAUAUCGGAAAGCUGUCCAGUUGCCUUUGAUCCACAAAUUCACCCUUAUUUCCCACUCUUCCUUCUGUUGAUGGUGUCUGUUGUUUGUUUUUCAGUCCCUCAUAUAAAAAUAAAUAAAUACAUAAAUGAAAAAAGACAUACACUAACACACUUCAUAUGCACAUUUUAUACCUCACAUUAAUAUGUGUGGAUAUUGUUUCCCAGUUAAGAUAGUGUCCGCCUUCUUUCUUAAAACUUUGUCAGACAUGUCAAAUGUAUGUGAUCUGGAAGAUCUGAGGCAGCAGAAAAUAUAUAUAUAAAUUUUAUAUGAGUAGCUGAAGCAGAUUGAGAAGGUUAGAAUAUGCAGCGGGAAAGGUGUUGGUGAUCAUCAGGGUGGCUGUUUCUGGACGACAUUGUGAAGGAAAAGACAAUUCAAGGGUCUGAAAUAAGCUGUUGGCUAGAGAGAGUUUUUUUUUUUUUCCCACGUCCACUGAAUGUUUCAGAAUUGUGGAAAGAGAAAGGCUGUCGGAGAUGGGCUGAAAACUGUCCAGCGUGUCAGAGGUUUUCUGGGCGGAUGUGACGAGUCAAGAGAUGGCAGGGAGAAAGGUCUUCAGUCAGUGCAAUAUAAUUGGAUUGAGGACUCAUGAGUUGUUCGUUUCUGCAAUUACGGGAGAAAUGCAGGCUGGCGCCGCAGGUGAAGACCAAGAAACAGCUGCCCGAGGGCUAGGAAGGGUGAGUCUGUGGACGGAGUGUGGCGGCAUAAAUGAAAGUUAAAUGAGAAUUAACCUAACUGUAUGAAAUAGAAAACAUUUGCUUUGCAUGAAAAUUGAAGUUUGUGUGGUGACAAAUUUAAGGACAGCACUUUAUUGCUGUGUAUAUGAAGUAACCACUGCCAUUGACUCUUAUUGACAGGAUAAAAUUGCAGCGAUAUUAACAGAAGAAAUGCCUAAGGGUAGGUCUUUAGCUAGAGUAGGGCAACUGAAGCUCAAUGAAGUAGUAUGUCGACUUGAAAAUAAACAAACAAAUGAUCUUCUGUCCAAUGAUCAUUGUAGUUUUCGUUGACUUUCUUUCAUGAUGAUAGCAUGGCAGUAAUGACAAGAAGAAAAUCUAUGUCUGAGGUCUGUCAGAGGUUGAAUAUGCAUGACAUUUACGGCGCAGUAACUCAAAACAAGCCUUGUUUGGCCGCAGACACCUCCUGAUAUGCAGCACAGAUUCUGCAUCAUGUAAUUCAGACCACGACAGCAGCGUCCACACAGGGGAUCUGUGGACAUACUUUCAAUAUAAUCCAGGAGAAAGAGAUAUGGAAUGCAUUUCAGAGGGGGGACGUGGAAAAUGAGGCCACAGCGCCUGACCACUCGCCACGGCGAUAUCCUUUCAAAGGCAAGUUACAAGUCCUGUAAACAUAUACGUAGCGUGACCCGUCGGCUUGUAAUGAAUUUAUUUGUCAUCUUACUCAGUACUCCGGAUACAAUGGGCAGCUACCUUCAAGCUAAAGUUAGUGUGACUGAGCUAAUAUCAUACAAACAUUUGCACAGGUGUAUCUCGCUACUAUGUGUAGAACAUGCAUGGAGAAACCGGUGUUGGCUUGGCUAGAGUUGUCUACAUUGCCCCAUGUAUGAAUGAUUGAAACAUGGAGGGAAAUAAAGCCUAUCAGCCCUGUUUUUUUAAAAAUAUGUCAUUCCUACAUUAGAUUAGACAGAUACAUUAUGAAAUCAUGUAGACUUAUAAAAGUAAUUGUAUCUCCUUUUUCUCCUUUUCUCAUCCAGAUCCAAGAGGCCAGAGCUCCAAAAGACAAACCUGACUGUCCAAAGAACGACAGGAGUGAGUACACGUGCCCUCGCCCCCUACCUGGUGCCUGGCUGGGAGACCUGACUUCUAUCCAUUAAGCGGGUGAAGGCUGCGCAGCAGGAUAUUUUGUCCUAUUAUUAAUGUCCCAGAUUUUUUUUUUAAUCACUCUACACGUGUUACAAAGGUAACAACUGGUUAAAAAGGAAAGUCAGAAGAUUUUUUUCCCCCCCAACAGAAUGUGCAAAGCCACUUGAGCAACAUGAAGAACUUUUGAUUCAAGUGGCAAGUUGCUGGUGGAAGACUUUUUUGUUUUGUUUGUUUGUUGUGUUGUUUUGUCUCACAGAGUUCUUGAUUUGUCUCUUCAUAAGACAGUUGAUCAAAGACUGCUUUUACGAGAAGCUUUAAAUGGAGAAUAAAAGAAAAAACUAUACUGAUACAGUGGCUGUGGAAAAAACAAAGCUGUGUACUAUUUGAUGAGGGUUUUACAUGACCAUGAUUUCCCUUCUCUUUUUUUGGGGUUUGUCUCAAAGGACAAUUUAUCAACUGCUUGGAUAGUUUAUAUGUGCCUCAUUAGGAAGCAGCCACUCAAGUUUUUCUAAUUGUCGGCAAAGUUUGAAACAAGAUGAGUCGACAGAAGAGUGUAAGAUAUAGCCCUGCUGUAGAAGAAAAAAAAGUCUUUUAUUUUUGCUUGUAAAAACAGCUUGUUUCAACGGAAAAGUGCUCUAUUGAAGACCUUGGUUUUACUUUUCAGGGCAGGGAUGCUUUUUCCUUGUUCAAAUUACAUUUCUGAUGUUGAUGUUUUACUUAAUGUGCUUAUGCCAUUUUUUACAUGGAUAACUGAAAUUUAUUUUUGAAAAGUUAUGAAAAAAGUCUGCCUAUUGAAGUCAAGGAUCAAAUCAUGACGUUCAAGUUUGCUUUUUGAAUUCGUAAAGACAAUGGCUUUGAAUGGGAACGUGGACUUGAAAAACGUAUAAUAAGGAGAUCAAAAGACAUCUGAAAACACGAGUUCUCGCCGGCCAAUGUUCUUAUGUGGUGGGUUUCAGAUGAGUCAGUCGAUUUGGAAUCGGAUAUUUUUGAGGCCCAAAGUUGCCACAAUAUUUAAUAGCAAAAGUGUGUAAGUUUACAACUUUAAAGGAAAACCGUCAUUUCUAAUCUGAAAAGUAAUGGGUUUUAUUUAUCUAUUUAUUUUUAUUAUUCCUGUGACCUGUGGAUCCAAAGCUAAUGUGCCCUGCAGACUCUACAAGCCUCAAGUCCGAUCUUGUCAAACAGUGCUCUUAACCCGAGUCCACCACAUGUUCAAUGUACAUGUUUUCGUGAACAGGUAAAUCUGAGACGACAGUCCAAGUUUUCUGAAACACAGUUUUCUAUAGUUCCAAAUGUUGACUACACCUCCCCUGACAUCAUCAGUCUCUCUGUUGCCUUGGAAACUGAAGAUGUGGCUCUGCACCGUUUAUUGUGUGUGCUUGUUUUUACAUCCAUAAUAAUUUUUGUAUUAUAUUUGAAGCACUCUUUAUUUCUGUUGAUCAACGGGAAAAAAGAGUGCUUCAAAUAUAGUCAGUUCAGAUAUAUCAGUUGGUCUUUGAAAAAAAGAAAAAAACUUUCUACGCUGGACGUUUUUUAAUCUAUUGUAAAUUCCUGCUUAUCCCUAUUAAAUAUGUUGAUAUUCAGUGAGCAGUUGUCUUUGUUUACUUUGCAAUAGAUUUUGAGUGUUGCUUCAUUAGCCAAGAAUGUUUUUAUCCCCCCCCCUUUUUUUGUUUUGUUUAAUGACUGGCAAAUUCAAAAAUCUUGAAACAUAUCAUACAUACUGUUUUCAAAGAUAAAAGAUUUUUUUUUCUUGGAACUCAUGAAAUUCAUGAAGGAAAUGUUUCAUAGUGCACUUUUUGUCACUUUUUCUAUCUUCCUUGAUUUAAAUUUUACUUAAAUUUUGAUUUUAUUUGAAAAUGAAAUGAUUUAAUUUGUUCUAACUUGUCCAUAAUAACACUUGUCUGUAUCACUCCAAAGGCAUCAGACAGGUUACUGGUGGUGAAAUAUAUGUACAGUUUUAACAAUCACAUGUUUAUUUAUUUCAGCAGAAUUGCCAUUUGAAGCUGUUUCUAAUUGUGGAUUAUAGCCCUAUGUUCUUUUUCGGUUUCCUUUUUUUUUGAGUUAAAAGCUAAAGUUGGAACUUUAGAUGAAGCUUUUGACUUUCAAGAUUGUUGCUGUUUUGUUCAAUGGCCUGCUGCAACACUGUUCUAUGGAGGGUUUGGCUUUCUUGUUUAUAUUUAUGUUGUGGUAGUUGUGCUUGUAAUGAUCGUGUAAUUUCUCCUACCUAUAAAGUCUGGUGACUGACAGGAAAUUAAUGAAGGAGAAUAUUCAACAUCCUGCAUAAUAAUCAUUUCACUGCAAGCAACUAAAUAAUUACCUUAGUUUUUUUUUUACCAUGGUUACAGUUUGCAUCUUUAAAAACCGCAGUGCCGGAGUACAAGCUCUCCUCACAGUGUGUUGUUCUAACUGGAGUAUCUGAAGAAAUUGAUCUUCUGAGCACCAACAUGACAUGUCAAGCUGUCAGCGCAAAAGUCCAGAUGGCCUGCAGCCUAUGACAUUUUCACACUCACAUACCAAUACACACAUUAGCAGCGAACAUCUUCAACAUGUUGCACUAUUUUGAAGCAUCAUAUCUGAUGUACCUGUAUGUAUUGCCACAUCUCUCUCUUUCAGGGGUCUGUCGAACCAAGGUUUGCUUGCUGUUGACGUUUAGCUGCUCCCUCUGGUCUUGUUAACUACUUCAUCUAGUUUUCAACUAUUUCUUCCAUCUUCUAUUACAUCUUUGUAGCAUUUUCUAUCUGCAGUAAAAACAUUGUCAACCACAGAUUUUGCUAACAGCAGCUGCGCCCCUGAUGCCUCCAAGAAACAUCCUUGAGAGUCCAGCACCAACCAUCUGGACCUCCCAGUCUGGGCAGCAAAGCAGAUCAACAUGCCAGAGACCGCUCACGAGGUGUCCACACCCGGGGAAGAAUUUUAAAUACCUCAUCUGUUGCAAAACCAAAAUGAUUCAAUCUUUCUGCUGUGUCUGGUGAACAUGACAUUUUUCAAUGGGUGUGUGUUUAAUUUCGAUUAAAUAAUCACAGUGUAUCCAUACACAGUGGUACCUCGGUUCUUGACCACAAUCAGUUCCAGAUGGCCGUUCGAAAAGCAAAUUGUUUGAAAUCUGAAUCAAUUUUUCCCAUCACAAUGAAUGGAAAAAGAAACAAUGCGUUCCAAGCCUUAAAAUAGGCUUUUGUAGGAGUGAAUGUAGAGUGUCUGCUGCAGGUGCGCUGUUCCUCUAUGUGUGUGGCCGCUGCAUGUGGGAGGGGUUGCCGAGUGAGUGACGUCUCUCCAGAAGGGAAGAGGUGCCCGGUGCGUGUCCAGCUCUGAAUGUGCGCUUCUGUGCAGUUUGGCUGUGACAAAGUCAUAAACCAAGUCACGCUCUGUCCCAGACUCGCCUCAUCCCUGUCCCAGCUCCAGCCCACAACAGGACAUCAAACCCUGGAGUGAGCGCUCCAGCCUCGGAGGUGUGGAGAGCGAGCACCUCCCCUGUGACACUCUACCACGGUCCAGUGUGGAGACAGGAAAGGUUUUACAAUAUGAAGAAAAAACUGUCAGUAAAUGUAGCUAAUGGGACACGUCUGCAUACAGAGGCUGCGUUAUACACGAUAACAAAGCGUGUCGUGUGUCAGCUGAUCAGGCCGCGUUGUGUUUUUUCCGGCUUUUUUCGAGGGCGUUCGAGUUCUGGAUUUCCGUUCGAAAUCAGAAGCAAAAAAAUCACAAAAUUUUUGUUCGAACUCUGAUUUGUUCAAAGUCCAAGACGGUUGAAAACUGAGGUGACUGGUUCAAUUCCAGCGUGGGCAAACUUUGAUCCUUUCUGCGUGGAGUUUUUUUAUUUGUUUUUUGAGCCUUAGGUAUUUUCACCUUCGCCUUCACCUUCUUCUGCCGCGUAUAGUAUCUGUAGCUGCCUACAAGCAGAUGAAUAGUCAUCCAGUAACAGUGUGAGAGGCAGAUAUACGAUUUAGCUGCUACAGGAAGGUGGUGAAUAGGGUCAGAUGUGUCAUCGCUUACCAGAUGAUGCAUGUAAAAGUGAACGCGUCUCCGGUUCUUACAUUAUCUAUUGCAGGUAAGCCAACAGUGAAUAAGUGAGUGAAUGAGCGUGGGUCAGUGAAGAGGGGAGUUGGCCGUCGUCAUGAGUGUGUGUGCAAGUGUGAAUAGAAAGUCUCUAGAAAUAGAAUAGUAAUGUAUAGCAGGCUAAUACGGCACACGAGGAAGAGGACCCUGGGGUUGUUACUUUGCUGCAUUGUGUGACAUUAAAACUUGUAUAUUGUCAUCAUCAGAAAUAUAGAGGCCACAGUGGAUUUAUUUUAUUUUAUUUAUUCAUUUUAUUAUUAUUAGAAUUUCAUCAGAUGAUGGCUGUAAAAGUGAAUG